rnacentral:rRNA from 1 species
GAUGAACGCUGGCGGCGUGCCUAAUACAUGCAAGUCGAGCGAACAGACGAGGAGCUUGCUCCUUUGAUGUUAGCGGCGGACGGGUGAGUAACACGUAGGUAACCUACCUAUAAAACUGGGAUAACUUCGGGAAACCGGAGCUAAUACCGGAUAAUAUUUCGAACCGCAUGGUUCGAUAGUGAAAGAUGGCUUUGCUAUCACUUAUAGAUGGACCUGCGCCGUAUUAGCUAGUUGGUAAGGUAACGGCUUACCAAGGCAACGAUACGUAGCCGACCUGAGAGGGUGAUCGGCCACACUGGAACUGAGACACGGUCCAGACUCCUACGGGAGGCAGCAGUAGGGAAUCUUCCGCAAUGGGCGAAAGCCUGACGGAGCAACGCCGCGUGAGUGAUGAAGGUCUUCGGAUCGUAAAACUCUGUUAUUAGGGAAGAACAAACGUGUAAGUAACUGUGCACGUCUUGACGGUACCUAAUCAGAAAGCCACGGCUAACUACGUG